GCUGGAAGUUUGCUUGUGGCUGCGUCCCUAAAAACUGGGGUGGUGUGGCCUUGCUAUUAAACUCCAAGGGACUGAUUCUCACUGGAGCCUGAAAUUCCAUACUGAAUCUUUGGAAUCUUUGCCUGCUACUGAUGCUGCUUUAGCUCAUGUCCAUUUUAACUGCUUUUAUGAUUUAGCAUCAUAUCACCAAAACGCAAGCCACAGUGAUGUCCUGAAGAAUGUUGAUCUGCACUCCUACAGACGGUUGCAGAGUAGGAAAGAAGGUAUUACAAGAUAAGUUUUGGUCUUAACUGAUACAAUUUGGAAAAGGAUGCAUUCUCUAGAUAGGAGCAUGCUAGUGCCAGAGCUAUGAGGACAUAUUUCAAUAAAGAAAUUGUCUGGGAUCGUAGCUGUGUUCAAGAUGGUCUGCUGUCAGAGGCCCCAUUUUUAAGGAUUAAGCUAGUGAAUUUAUUGGCUAUGACAUGGACUAUUGCCCCUGGAUCCUUCAUAUUUGGUACCAAUCCCUGUAAUUCCUUGAGAGAAGCCAUGUUGACUUUGAAUUAGUUGGAGAUAGCAGUAGAAUAGGAUGGUGAGGUGGUUUCAGAGGGUUCUACAUUGGCCCUUUCUGUCCUAAUUUCUCUCAUUCCACAAGCCCAUGAGUCAAUUUGAGUUAACUGCUCGGCAUGUCUAUCUGGACGCUUCACUCAGGGGACUUGGAGAAAAACACAAGAUGGACCCAUGGAAAGGUACUAACACCCCUCAUUUCCAUGCUGAGUUUGCACAUGUGCCGAGUUUCAGAGACGACCUGGAGAGCAGAAGGCACAGAAGCGUGGUUUGCUCACGCGAGGCCACUGCAACCCUAGCUUGGACCUGUCCAGUGCAUUUGCAGCUGAAAUUAGUGGUGAGUCGGGCAGGGGACUUGGGAUUCAAAGUGCCUGCUACAACUGAGGAAAAGAGAAGUGAUAAUGCAGCUGACUGCUCACCAUUGCUAGGCCCUCCAUUUAUGUCAGGGAACCUUCCUCAAGGAAAGAAGAAUCUUCAGCUCCCUUCUUCCACACAUCUAGAGGCUGCCUCUAAGUCCAUGCAUGCAGCAUUACCUUUCCCAUAUAUCCCACUUAUACAAGCAUAGGCACUGACCAGGGAUCUGGGGCAUUCUAUGCCCCCAUCUGAAUUGGAAAACUCAGGCCAGGAGUUGAGGUACAAGCAUGAACAUAAGCCCACUGUCCUGUUAUAUCAAUUGGCCACUGGGACAAGGGACAGGUGAGGCUGAAGGGGCCCUAAUAUGGGUUGUCAUAGAUGUGUGAUAACAUGCUAUGUGCCUGAUCCAUCCAGUCACCAAAAAUAUAGGUGAAAAUGUUGAACACCUGACAAAGCAGUGAGGUACAUAGGUCACUGAGCCCGAUAACUUAGACUCUACACAUGGUACACUUUCAAAAUGUCCAGAUACUAUUCUAAAGUUCCUCUAAGUUCCACUAAACUUCAUGGUACUGCACCCUGACUUGGUCUGGUUUUGUUUUUCUUCCAAAAAUAAGGGCCUAAGGCAACUGGACUGCAGAAGGCUUAUUUGGAAGUAAUCCCUGGGAGUAGGAGCGAGUGGGUGAGGAGACAAGAAUAAGUCAAUAAAGGGAACAUUGCUUAGCUGGUUCCCACUUCAGGCAUCUGAGUUGGAGCAGGGUGUGGGGGUCUCUGAGGGAUCUUGCAGAAGGUUCAGGUGUGCCUCUGAGGAUGGGAGGCUGAGGCGUGGAUCCCUGCUCCCCAUCACUAUUGCCCAAGAGUUGCCUCCAGUAUUAAUUCCUCUCCUGAGCUCACUACACACAGGUCAGAUAAGUGCUUGGAUUCCAGAGAAAGGACCUUAGGGGGAGAGAAAAGGAAUGUUUGGGCCCUUGGAAUAUAGGCUGCUAUAGCUGUGCAGUCUUCCACCGCAAGACUGAAGUCAAGAGUGCUGGGGGAUGGAGUUGAGCCACCCAACUCUGCAUAGUUACUACCUUCUCAAACCACAAUAUGACUUGGUUACCUCCUUUGUCUAACUGAACACCCACAUGUUUGGAACUUUGGAAAAACUGACAUUCUUCAUGUAAAAUCAAAUUACAAUGAGAAGACCCUAGAGGUGAAUGGUAAUGCUCUAAAUCAAACUGAGAAGAGGUGGGAAUUUAAGAGGAAAUGUGGGCCAAUUUUUAGCAAACAUCAAGUUUUCUAGAUUCUGUGCAUACAUAAAAAAUAUAAAAUGAAAAAAUCCAAUGAUAGAAUGAGGGAGCUGAUCAAGCACUGUUCGGAAAGACCAAAAAGACAGGUAAACUGGGCUGGGGAUUUAGCUCAGUGGUUCUGCUGCCUGCCUCAAAAGUGCAAGGACCUGAGUUCAAUCCCCGGUACCAAAAAAAAAAAAAAAAAAAAUUGUAUUUUUGGGCUAUGGAUUUAGCUCAGUGGUGCUGCCACCUGCCUUGCAAAUGGAAGGUCUGAGGGUCGAUCCCCAGUACCCAAAACAAGACAAACCUGGUAGGAUUAAUGUGGUGACCUUUGAUUCCACCUACACUCUUCAGGUCUCACUCCAUGUGGAAGCACAGGCUGACCUCCGACUGCCAAUGCCCCAGCUUGGCCAGAGGCUUCUCCCAAAGCCAUACAAAACCUUUUGCCUUUGCAAAGAACAGGCUGACUCAUUGGGGGAAAUUCACACAGCUUUGGAGCAGGUCUUAAUAACUAAUUGGAGUUCAUGUAUAAAUGCACCACGAUCGUCAUUUGGAGACUAAUUCAGAAUUUCUCCAUGAAAUUAGCCUCAGCUCAGCAUAUUUUGGUUGCCUUCCUGUCUCUCCUUCCACUCUGUCUAUGGCUACUUCCAAUUUUCUAAAUAACUCAACUGCACUCAAGAACUUAGGGUUUACUUUUAGAGAAACCAAAGCUAAAAUACUACUAAAAGAUAUUGCAAGUAAAUAAUACCAGGACAGGGCUGUGGAUUUAGCUCAGUGAUUUUGCCACCUGCUGCGCAAGCACAAGGACCAGAGUUCGAUCCCCAGUACCAAAAGAAAUAAUAAUACCAGGACUUAGGAAAAUAAUGUAAGUCAGAAAGUUUUCACUUGAAAUGUCCAGAGUGGUGCAGAGGAUUGUGGGUGAUGGAAACACCAGAAACUACACAGGAUAGUAAAGCCACACAGAUUAGUAAGGGUAUAUAUUACUCCAUUCAGACAAUUCUAGAACAGCCAAACUAAUCUGUAAUGGGAGAAAUCAACUGUUUCCUGGCGAGGAGGAAAAUUUCUCAGGUGAUGAAAAGGUUCUACGUCUUGCCUGGAGAAGUGGUUAUGUGGGUGUAAACAUGUCAAAC
ensembl:lncRNA